rfam:Triticum urartu cultivar G1812 contig200545, whole genome shotgun sequence.
CAUCUACUCCCUUCACCCGGAAAUACUUGUUGAAGAAAUGAAUACAAAUGGAUGUAUCUAGAACUAAAAUACAUUUAGAUACAUCUAAUUCUGGGACAAGUAUUUCCGAACGGAGGGAGUAGUAU